GAUGAACGCUGGCGGCGUGCCUAAUACAUGCAAGUCGAGCGAACAGAUGAGGAGCUUGCUCCUCUGACGUUAGCGGCGGACGGGUGAGUAACACGUGGAUAACCUACCUAUAAGACUGGGAUAACUUCGGGAAACCGGAGCUAAUACCGGAUAAUAUAUUGAACCGCAUGGUUCAAUAGUGAAAGACGGUUUUGCUGUCACUUAUAGAUGGAUCCGCGCCGCAUUAGCUAGUUGGUAAGGUAACGGCUUACCAAGGCAACGAUGCGUAGCCGACCUGAGAGGGUGAUCGGCCACACUGGAACUGAGACACGGUCCAGACUCCUACGGGAGGCAGCAGUAGGGAAUCUUCCGCAAUGGGCGAAAGCCUGACGGAGCAACGCCGCGGGAGUGAUGAAGGGCUUCGGAUCGUAAAACUCUGUUAUUAGGGAAGAACAAAUGUGUAAGUAACUAUGCACGUCUUGACGGUACCUAAUCAGAAAGCCACGGCUAACUACGU
rnacentral:rRNA from 1 species